AAUAGAUACCCCGGUAGUCCACGCCGUAAACGAUGUCGACUUGGAGGUUGUUCCCUUGAGGAGUGGCUUCCGGAGCUAACGCGUUAAGUCGACCGCCUGGGGAGUACGGCCGCAAGGUUAAAACUCAAAUGAAUUGACGGGGGCCCGCACAAGCGGUGGAGCAUGUGGUUUAAUUCGAUGCAACGCGAAGAACCUUACCUACUCUUGACAUCCAGAGAACUUUCCAGAGAUGGAUUGGUGCCUUCGGGAACUCUGAGACAGGUGCUGCAUGGCUGUCGUCAGCUCGUGUUGUGAAAUGUUGGGUUAAGUCCCGCAACGAGCGCAACCCUUAUCCUUUGUUGCCAGCGGUCCGGCCGGGAACUCAAAGGAGACUGCCAGUGAUAAACUGGAGGAAGGUGGGGAUGACGUCAAGUCAUCAUGGCCCUUACGAGUAGGGCUACACACGUGCUACAAUGGCGUAUACAAAGAGAAGCGGCCUCGCGAGAGCAAGCGGACCUCAUAAAGUACGUCGUAGUCCGGAUUGGAGUCUGCAACUCGACUCC
rnacentral:rRNA from 1 species